rnacentral:rRNA from 1 species
UACAGAGGUCUCAAGCGUUGUUCGGAUUCAUUGGGCGUAAAGGGUGCGUAGGCGGCGCGGUAAGUCGGGGUGUGAAAUCUUGGAGCUUAACUCCGAAACUGCAUUCGAUACUGCCGUGCUUGAGGACUGGAGAGGAGACUGGAAUUUACGGUGUAGCGGUGAAAUGCGUAGAUAUCGUAAGGAAGACCAGUGGCGAAGGCGGGUCUCUGGCCCGGUACUGACGCUGAGGCGCGAAAGCGUGGGGAGCAAACAGG